CUGGUUCCAUUAGAGGAAGUAAAAGUCGUAACAAGGUUUCCGUAGGUGAACCUGCGGAAGGAUCAUUAUUGAAAUAAGAGCUCUCCUGAAAUACAUUGGCUUGCGGGUCUACUUUCGACUUUGUGCGAUAAGGCUUUCGGUGUGAUAAUGAUCACCGUAUGCUGAAGUGCAUAACUGUAAAGUUCCGUGCCUCUAAUAUUGUCGAUCCUAUCCUUAUAGGAUGGAUCUUCCUUAUAUGACAUUUUGACCUCAAAUCAGGUAGGACUACCCGCUGAACUUAAGCAUAUCAAUAAGCGGAGGAAAAGAAACUAACAAGGAUUCCCCUAGUAACUGCGAGUGAACCGGGAAAAGCUCAAAUUUUGAAUCUGGCAGUCCUUUGAGGUUGUCCGAAUUGUAAUCUAGAGAAG
rnacentral:rRNA from 1 species